rnacentral:lncRNA from 1 species
CCCAGGGGUGGUGCUGACCCUGCCCUGAAGGAGGAACCCUUGGCAGCACGGGGUGGAAAGACUCCAGUGUGGCUGGAAUGAACCAAGGGACAGAUCCCAGGAGACUGUGUGGCUAUUGACUCUCCUGCCAAUUGUCUGGAGGGAGAAGCACAAAGCGCCCACUGUGAGAGGUGCCUAUCAGGCCACGCCAAUCAAAUUGCACUCGUGGAGCAGACAGAAGAUGCCGCCAAGAAGAAAAAGGGAAAAAGAGAGAAGCUCUUGUUUCCAAACUUGUUCAUCUCUCGUUAUCAAAAGAGUUUCUGUGUUUCCAGCGGCGUUUCCCAGGAAAAUGGAAAUUCAGAAAGAAUUGUGUCAGUCUUGGUAUAGAGUGAAAUAUUCCUGACAAAUCCAGCUUGAAGGGAGAAGGCCCGAGGCUCCCUCCCAGAUCCAGGACUUCCCUCCAGGGUCCCCAGACAGGUGUCCAACCCAUUUUCUUGGAUUGCAACAAGCAGGCACCAACUUGGGAGAUGGAGAUCACGAGUGAAAGAAUACACUCAAAUGUGCAGUUCCUGGGACCCACGAGUUGAGCUCUUCUAGGAGAGGGUUGCUGCGUUUCUCCCUGGACCCAUGAGGUCCUUUCUGGGGCCACUUACGCUGGUCUGCCUUGCCUGGGGGUGAUGUUUAUUCCAUUAGCCCCUCUAAAUGUCAAAUUUCUUGACAGCAGGGACUUAAGCAUUUGGGGGUUCUCUGAAGUUCUAAGCUCAGAACCUUGUAAAUGACUGACACUCAAAACAUGUGUUAAAUGAAAAAAAAAAGGACUGGAAAUAUAUGACAGAAAUAGCCUCCUUGCUGCUCUCCUGCCCAUCUUGCAUGUGACCAUGGCAUGACUGAGUGAGUGAAAAAUCAAUCAGAGCCUGAGACAUAGUUAACAGAAAGGUUUUGCAGUCCUUCACCUGGUCCCCAGGGUUUGUAGGUGUUUCCUUAGGGUUAAAGUGCUGCAAUGUGAAAAAGCCAAGUUAAAAGACAAGGGGCUCCAGUGCCAGGCCCAGUGCUGGGGAAAUUGGGUUUGCCCUGAGGGUGAGGAAGGGAAGGAGGAGGAGACACAUCUACUUCUGGGAAUAGGGGCAGGAGUGGGCAGGGAUGGGCUAGGGAAGCAUCACCCCCAGGAGAAAUGGUUCCUCUGGUGCCCAGCCCAGGAGGAAGAGCUCACCAAGCAUCUAGAGUCCAAGGCUCCCUACACUGCAACCAAGGAAGGAAAGAAGGUGCUGGCUCCCGGCUCGUGGCAGCAAUGGGUGGGGGAAGCAUCACUCCUACUGGGGACCCUACCGACACAGAGAGGAGCCUGAAUCACUGCACUCCUUAACCAGUGAUCCACUGUCUGCAGGGACUGGUGGCAGGACCCAGGGGUUUGUGUAGAGAGUGGAGGAGGACACAGAACUGCUGUGAUUUCCUGCGACCCUCUGCAUCUUCCAGGAUGGCAGCAGGAAAAUAACUGUGCACUGUCACCUGCCUGUUCCCCUUCCCUUCCCCCUCCUCCUGGGCAGCCCAGCAGGGCACACAGAGGGCAGCACUGUCCAUGCUCUGUCCGCAGGGAGAGGGACCGUGCUGGGGCAGGAAGGCUCUGUUUCCAACUAAAAGCAGAGAUGCUGCCCAGGAAGCUCAUCUGCAGGUUCAGGAAGGUGAGCCCUCCCGUUGGUCACCUCUUUAUUUCUUCUAACCUCACCCGAGAGAAAGGGAAACCUUUAAAUAGAACAGGGAAAAAUAUCAAGAAAAUGCACAUUAAAACCACAAUGAGAUACCACUGUACUCCUGCAAGAGUGGCCGUUCUUGAAAAGUGAAGAAACAAUAGAUGUUGGCGUGGAGGUGGUGAAAAAGGAAUGCUCAUCCGCAGCUGGUGGGAAUGUAAGUGAGUAAGUCUCGAUGGAAAACAGCAUGGAGGCUUCUUAACAACUGAAAGCAGAUCUACCGUUUGAUCCAGCAGUCCCAUUACUGGGUAUUUACCCAAAGGAAAUGCAGUCAUUAUAUCAAAAAGACAUCUGCAUGCAUAUGUUCAUUAUGGCACAAUUGCAAAGAUAAGGAACCAACCUAAGUGCACAUCCAUCAAUGAGUGGAUACAGAAAACGUGGUAUAUAUACGCCAUGGCAUACUACUCAGCCUCAAAAAAGAGUGAAACAAUGUCUUUUGCAGCAACUUGGAUGGAGCUGAAGGCCAUUGCUCUAAAUGAAGUAAUUCAGGAAUGGAAAACCAAAUAUGAUACCUUCUCACCUAUAAGUGGGAGCUAAGCUAUGGGUACACAGAGGCAGACAGUGUGAAAUAAUGGACUUCAGAGACUCAGAAGGGGGAGGACGGGAAGGAGGUGAGAGAUAAAAACCACAUAUUGGGAGCAAUGUACACUGCUUGGGUGACCACUGUGCUAAAAUGUCCGAUUUCACCACUAGACAAUUCACUCAUGUAACUAAAAACCACUUAUACCCCAAAAGCUAUUGAAAAAAAUUUUUUAAUUUUAAUAAUAAAGUCAAAACUAUAUAAUAAAGUAACCUCAUAGAAAUCUUGAAAAAAUAAAGAGGA